rnacentral:rRNA from 1 species
UACGGUGGGAGCUAGCGUUGUUCGGAAUCACUGGGCGUAAAGCGCGUGUAGGCGGAUUGUUAAGUCGGGGGUGAAAUCCCGAGGCUCAACCUCGGAACUGCCUUCGAUACUGGCGAUCUUGAGUCCGGGAGAGGUGAGUGGAACUCCGAGUGUAGAGGUGAAAUUCGUAGAUAUUCGGAAGAACACCAGUGGCGAAGGCGGCUCACUGGCCCGGUACUGACGCUGAUAUGCGAAAUCGUGGGGAGCAAACAGG